UUAAGCGACUAAGCGUACACGGUGGAUGCCCUGGCAGUCAGAGGCGAUGAAGGACGUGCUAAUCUGCGAAAAGCGCCGGCGAGGUGAUAUGAACCCUUGACCCGGCGAUGUCCGAAUGGGGAAACCCAGUGCAAUCCGUUGCACUAUCGUUAACUGAAUACAUAGGUUAACGAGGCGAACCGGGGGAACUGAAACAUCUAAGUACCCCGAGGAAAAGAAAUCAACCGAGAUUCCCCCAGUAGCGGCGAGCGAACGGGGAGCAGCCCGGAGUCUGAAUCAGCUUGUGUGUUAGUGGAACGGUCUGGAAAGUCCGACGGUACAGGGUGAUAGUCCCGUACACGAAAGCACACUUGCUGUGAACUCGAAGAGUAGGGCGGGACACGUGGUAUCCUGUCUGAAUAUGGGGGGACCAUCCUCCAAGGCUAAAUACUCCUGACUGACCGAUAGUGAACCAGUACCGUGAGGGAAAGGCGAAAAGAACCCCGGCGAGGGGAGUGAAAAAGAACCUGAAACCGUGUACGUACAAGCAGUGGGAGCCUCUUUAUGGGGUGACUGCGUACCUUUUGUAUAAUGGGUCAGCGACUUAUAUUCUGUAGCAAGGUUAACCGUAUAGGGGAGCCGAAGGGAAACCGAGUCUUAACUGGGCGUUAAGUUGCAGGGUAUAGACCCGAAACCCGGUGAUCUAGCCAUGGGCAGGUUGAAGGUUGGGUAACACUAACUGGAGGACCGAACCGACUAAUGUUGAAAAAUUAGCGGAUGACCUGUGGCUGGGGGUGAAAGGCCAAUCAAACCGGGAGAUAGCUGGUUCUCCCCGAAAGCUAUUUAGGUAGCGCCUCGUGAACUCAUCUUCGGGGGUAGAGCACUGUUUCGGCUAGGGGGCCAUCCCGGCUUACCAACCCGAUGCAAACUACGAAUACCGAAGAAUGUUAUCACGGGAGACACACGGCGGGUGCUAACGUCCGUCGUGAAGAGGGAAACAACCCAGACCGCCAGCUAAGGUCCCAAAGUCAUGGUUAAGUGGGAAACGAUGUGGGAAGGCACAGACAGCCAGGAUGUUGGCUUAGAAGCAGCCAUCAUUUAAAGAAAGCGUAAUAGCUCACUGGUCGAGUCGGCCUGCGCGGAAGAUGUAACGGGGCUAAACCAUGCACCGAAGCUGCGGCAGCGACACUAUGUGUUGUUGGGUAGGGGAGCGUUCUGUAAGCCGUUGAAGGUGUGCUGUGAGGCAUGCUGGAGGUAUCAGAAGUGCGAAUGCUGACAUAAGUAACGAUAAAGCGGGUGAAAAGCCCGCUCGCCGGAAGACCAAGGGUUCCUGUCCAACGUUAAUCGGGGCAGGGUGAGUCGACCCCUAAGGCGAGGCCGAAAGGCGUAGUCGAUGGGAAACAGGUUAAUAUUCCUGUACUUGGUGUUACUGCGAAGGGGGGACGGAGAAGGCUAUGUCAGCCGGGCGACGGUUGUCCCGGUUUAAGCAUGUAGGCGGAGGUUCCAGGUAAAUCCGGUACCUUAUUAACGCUGAGGUGUGAUGACGAGGCACUACGGUGCUGAAGUGAUAAAUGCCCUGCUUCCAGGAAAAGCCUCUAAGCAUCAGGUAACACGAAAUCGUACCCCAAACCGACACAGGUGGUCAGGUAGAGAAUACCAAGGCGCUUGAGAGAACUCGGGUGAAGGAACUAGGCAAAAUGGUGCCGUAACUUCGGGAGAAGGCACGCUGAUGUGUAGGUGAAGUCCCUGCGGAUGGAGCUGAAAUCAGUCGAAGAUACCAGCUGGCUGCAACUGUUUAUUAAAAACACAGCACUGUGCAAACACGAAAGUGGACGUAUACGGUGUGACGCCUGCCCGGUGCCGGAAGGUUAAUUGAUGGGGUUAGCGGCAACGCGAAGCUCUUGAUCGAAGCCCCGGUAAACGGCGGCCGUAACUAUAACGGUCCUAAGGUAGCGAAAUUCCUUGUCGGGUAAGUUCCGACCUGCACGAAUGGCGUAAUGAUGGCCAGGCUGUCUCCACCCGAGACUCAGUGAAAUUGAACUCGCUGUGAAGAUGCAGUGUACCCGCGGCAAGACGGAAAGACCCCGUGAACCUUUACUAUAGCUUGACACUGAACACUGGUCCUUGAUGUGUAGGAUAGGUGGGAGGCUUUGAAGCGUGGACGCCAGUCUGCGUGGAGCCAACCUUGAAAUACCACCCUUUAAUGGCUGGUGUUCUAACGUAGACCCGUAAUCCGGGUUGCGGACAGUGUCUGGUGGGUAGUUUGACUGGGGCGGUCUCCUCCCAAAGAGUAACGGAGGAGCACGAAGGUUGGCUAAUCCUGGUCGGACAUCAGGAGGUUAGUGCAAUGGCAUAAGCCAGCUUGACUGCGAGCGUGACGGCGCGAGCAGGUGCGAAAGCAGGUCAUAGUGAUCCGGUGGUUCUGAAUGGAAGGGCCAUCGCUCAACGGAUAAAAGGUACUCCGGGGAUAACAGGCUGAUACCGCCCAAGAGUUCAUAUCGACGGCGGUGUUUGGCACCUCGAUGUCGGCUCAUCACAUCCUGGGGCUGAAGUAGGUCCCAAGGGUAUGGCUGUUCGCCAUUUAAAGUGGUACGCGAGCUGGGUUUAGAACGUCGUGAGACAGUUCGGUCCCUAUCUGCCGUGGGCGCUGGAGAAUUGAGGGGGGCUGCUCCUAGUACGAGAGGACCGGAGUGGACGCAUCACUGGUGUUCGGGUUGUCAUGCCAAUGGCACUGCCCGGUAGCUAAAUGCGGAAGAGAUAAGUGCUGAAAGCAUCUAAGCACGAAACUUGCCCCGAGAUGAGUUCUCCCUGAGACUUUAAGUCUCCUGAAGGAACGUUGAAGACGACGACGUUGAUAGGUCGGGUGUGUAAGCGCAGCGAUGCGUUGAGCUAACCGAUACUAAUGAACCGUGAGGCUUAACCUU
rnacentral:rRNA from 1 species